rnacentral:rRNA from 1 species
GACGAACGCUGGCGGCGUGCUUAACACAUGCAAGUCGAACGGAAAGGCCCUGCUUUUGUGGGGUGCUCGAGUGGCGAACGGGUGAGUAACACGUGAGUAACCUGCCCUUGACUUUGGGAUAACUUCAGGAAACUGGGGCUAAUACCGGAUAGGAGCUCCUGCUGCAUGGUGGGGGGUGGAAAGUUUCGGCGGUUGGGGAUGGACUCGCGGCUUAUCAGCUUGUUGGUGGGGUAGUGGCUUACCAAGGCUUUGACGGGUAGCCGGCCUGAGAGGGUGACCGGCCACAUUGGGACUGAGAUACGGCCCCGACUCCUACGGGAGGCAGCAGUGGGGAAUAUUGCACAAUGGGCGGAAGCCUGAUGCAGCAACGCCGCGUGCGGGAUGACGGCCUUCGGGUUGUAAACCGCUUUCGCCUGUGACGAAGCGUGAGUGACGGUAAUGGGUAAAGAAGCACCGGCUAACUACGUG